rnacentral:rRNA from 1 species
UACGGAGGAUGCAAGCGUUAUCCGGAUUUAUUGGGUUUAAAGGGUGCGCAGGUUGUUUGAUAAGCCAGUGGUGAAAGUCUGUCGCUUAACGGUAGGAUUGCCAUUGAUACUGUUAGACUUGAAUAUGGAUGAGGUAGGCGGAAUGUGUAGUGUAGCGGUGAAAUGCAUAGAUAUUACACAGAACACCGAUUGCGAAGGCAGCUUACUAAUCCAUCAUUGACGCUGAGGCACGAAAGCGUGGGGAUCAAACAGGA